GAAGGUAUAGCUCAGUCGUAGAGUGUGUGCUCAGCAUGCAUGAGGUCCUGGGUUCUAUCCCUAGUACCUCCU
rnacentral:tRNA from 1 species